UUUUUUGCUUGCCUUCGUUAUCAUUGAAGAAAACCCAGAGGUGUUCUUUAUCGUUAACAAAAAAGUUGUCUAUCAAACUUAUAGAAAAUUCUUUCCUUGAGUUUUCUGCUGGUAAGUUCUUAAAUCCUGAUUCAUGUUUUACCAGGUAGAAAGGAGUGUUGUAAGAGUUGUUCAAUAGGGUUUCCAUCUAAAUACUGGAUAGGAAGAAAACUUCUAUCCCGGAACUAUUUACAUGUUUAUCGAUUCAUGUUAUUUUAUUAAGUUUUGGUUGUUCUUAUAUUUAAAGAAGUCAUCCGAUUAUUUUAAUCAAGGAUAUGGGAGAAGGUCUUAAUGCUAAAGGGAAAGAACCCGUUGAGUAGGAAGCUCUAAGUGAAGGUUUCUGGUGAGUUCUUUUGUACCUUAAGUUGUUAUCUGCAUUAUUAUGUUUAAAUUUACCUGCUGUAUAUCCAGGUAAGUAGCUUUAACCUUUGGUCCUGGUACAAAGCAAGUAAAUCACAAAAGAAAUUGUGCCCUUGAACAAAGCAAUCAAGACAGUGACACAUUCCAAAUAUUAGCAUUAGAUAGGUUUAUUUCACAUUUUAGCAUGGCUACCUACAACCCUAAUUGGAUACAUAAGAACUGCCUAAAUCAAUAUAUGCCAAAAACCUUAUGACUCAAAAAUGUUAAUUACCAGGAAGGAAACAGCUUCAAAAGGUAACCAACAAUCAAACAAAGAACUAAGGUAUGAAGCUAUGUUACACGAACUCAGAGGUAUUAGUCCAAUAUGGGUAACCUCAAUAUUUUUUUUAAGUUGUUCCAUAUAUUUGAAGAAUUAUUUCCCCAUAGCCAUGUUCGAAUAUGUGUCAGAUAUGGGUGUUGGACAUUGGUACUACAAGGGAAUUGAAGAGUUGGUGUACAAUAGCUUUGAAGCCUUCAAUCUCUUAUUUAAUUUAGUUAAUAAAAACUGAAAGAAGGGUAAGAAAAUAUAAAAUCUCAAGAAAAAAGGUGCAGUUAUUCAAGAAAAGAUAACUAGUACUAAGUUUGGAGAAAACUAACUGGAAAGGAAAAAAAUGUCAUGGCUUAGUGAAAUCAAACAAAACGACAUAGUUACUAUAAUAAUAAAAGUGAAGCAAUAGCAUAUUUCAUAUUUCAAAUUCUUAUUAGGCACAACCUGAAAGAAUCCUAGGCAAUAGGAAUAGAGAGGAAAACAAAGUUCACGAACUAGCCACCUAUUCACCAUAUCCCAAAGCGUAAACAAUUUAAACACAUCUUGGUUUGGCAUGAAUCAAGCAAAAACAAAUAUCUGACGGAGCAAGCAAAGAGCCAGGAAACUCAGUAAAGUAAGAAAUAUUUAAGGCGUUUUCUUGUCUUGUCCUAUUGCACAGUUUCUUGGGGACUAACAAAAUCAAACCAAAAAGAGAACAUACACACAAAUCAUAAACUUCCUUACAAAAGUUUUAUAAAAAAAAAUCUCCCAAAUCAACAUUUCAAACAAAAUCAACCAAAGGGGGGAAAUCCAGUACUUAGUGACAAAAAGCUCUAAAAGUUACUUCCUUUUUACAUGAUUUUCUCAUAAAAAACAAAACCCCAAAUUGGAUUCCUAAUAACCAAAAAGAUGUAGACGAUAAAAACUUUCUAAUUAAGAAAGGUAUCAUACAAAAAAGACAACUUAUACUUCCACCUAACUCUUAAAUAGCCAAAUUUACAAUCCAAAUCAUAGAAACAAAGCAUACCGUCAUCCCACUUCUCACAAGAGAUAGAUAAAAUGAAGGAGAUCUGUACAAAGAAACAUAUAUUCCUGAGCUUAAUAAGCUCACUUAAAGUCUCGUAUCUACAUAGAGUCCUAAAUAUAAUAUUCAUCACUCUGAAUAUAAGAUUCCACUUACAUUUUGAAUUUUUUUUUCAAAAACAAACCAAAAGAGAGUAACUCUUUUUUGGUAUAAAAAAUCAAAGCUUUCCAAUUUUAACAGCAAGAACUAAAGAAGCAACUUUACGGGCUAAAAUCAUAAAAAACAAAAAUACCUGGAUCGACAUUUGGAGUAAAAACCAAGAAAAUGGGAAAGAUCUUAUGGAAAAAGUAGCGAUUUGUGAUGUUAUGUGGGAGUAGAAGACACCAGUAGGAAGAAAAGAGUUAACAGAAAAGAUGGCAAUAAAUGUAAAAGAAAAAAGCAAAAUAAAGACACAAACAUACCUGAAGAGAAAGAAGGAAUAGUAGGAGAGAAAAUGAGGAGAUUUGAAGACAUUAUAGAGAAAAGAAAAGGAAAUCAAAGAAGAGGAAGAGUAUUUCACGAUCUCACUCUCUGUAAAAAGUCUUAAAGGUUGUUGUUCCCUUUCUCUCUAAAGAUAUAUCAUAUUUAUUUAUUUUAUUACAAUAAAUAUUCGGUUUCAGAGUUUCAUCUGUCACUUGAGAGAGCCGCAACAAUUGGUGGGUUGUCUUGUCCGAGACCAACGCCUCCUAACUCAAGCAAAAAAUCAUUAUAAUUAGGAUAAAGAUUAAAAUUAAGAUAAUCCACCAAAAAAUAUUAGUUGCAAUAGUAAGAUUUUUCCGAGAUUAACAGAUUAAUUUCAAAUUUUGUUUAGUUUUAGAAAAGGAAAUUUGGGUUCUUGAAAAAUAAAAAUAUUUAAAAAAUAUAUUUGGUUAAAAAAUUUUAAAAGAAUUUUUUAUUUUUAUUUUUCUAAAAAUGCUAAAUAAAGGUUUUUGUUGUUUUUAGGGAAAAAGUUUAAUAAAAGUAAAAGUAAUGAAGACAAAUAUUUUUAACUUUAAAAGAAUUUGUUGGCCUUAGUUCAAACACAUAUAAGUAAAAAUAUUUUUAAUAGUUUUCAAAUAUUAAAAAUGAUACUCUAAUUUGAACCCAUAUGAAUGUAAUUUUCUGUUUUAUUUUUCAUGUUAUUAUUGUUUAAAAAUAGUUAUCAAACAUAUUUUGUCACACCCUCAUUUGACAAACCGAUAUGAUUGGAAAGUUGUUCUGGCGAAACCGACUAAGUCGCGAGAUUUAGGUUGAUUAGCAUUGGUGAUUUCCUUAGUGAAGUAUUUCACUGAGCUUCGCUAAGGUUGUGAACUCUUAUUUCGCAUUUGGCGAGUCCUUUAUUUUGACGAGAUCCUUAUUUGGUGGACUCUUUCACAAAUAAGUCUGCGACCCAUGUUUUGUGUUGUUGUGAACGUAAUUGUGUAUUAGAAAUAGGGGCUAGUGGGACAUGUUUAAGUCAUCUGGCAUCCUAGUGGAGGUAACGUGUCAAUAAAGCCUCAUAAGAUGUGAUUAAUUAGUGAAAACGUGUGUGUAUGAUUACUUAUUAAAGAUUUAAUUUGAGUGGGAUCAGGACUAGAGUCAGCUAUAAAUAGGACAACCCAGUAAUGGAGAGAAGAUUUUUUAUUUCAUCUUCUUUGCUCACCUUCGUCAUUAACGAAGAAAACUCAGAAGUUUUCUUCAUUGAUUUCAGAUGAGCUGAUUGUUAAGCUUAUAGAAGCUAUCUUCUUUAAGUUGUCUAUUGAUAAACUCUUAAAUCCUUCUUUAAGUUUUAUCAGAUAGAAAGAAGUAGUCAUAAAAGUUGUUAAUUAGGUCAUAUUUCAUACUCGAGUCAACAAAAGAGCUUCCAUAAGCUUGAUUUAGUUCUGUAAAAGUUUGAGUAUCAUAUUAGGAAUGAGUUUAAGUUAUAAAUGUCUAUUUGAUUGAUAUAAUUAUUGUAUUUUUGUGGACAUUGUGCUGACAACGAAUAUGGCAUCCUGUAGCUUGGACCCGACAAUCGGGUCAGGCUCGAGGUGUUACAGAUGUAUUGAAAGCCUGAGUUCAAUUGGUGAUAAAGUUGAAAGUCAGUACAUCGGAUAUACAACUUCUACAUGGCAUGUUAUAGUUUUGAUACUUUAGAAUGCGCAUUUAGGGUAUUUUUACCAUUAAAUCUCAAUAUAACAUGAACGUGUCUUGAGACUAUAAGAACAAAAUUUACCUUAUUGUUCAACCCAAAUGUUUAGUGUCUCAAGACUUGUCAAGCUAGCCUCAAGACAAUUAAUCACUCCUUAGUGUGUGUGCACCGAGAAAGAUAAAUAUGCAAACAAAUAUAGAUAAGUGCGGUGUACUACAAGUAUACAGGUCAAAUUGUAAUAUAGUUUUAAAUUACAAUGAAAUACGAAAGUAUUUCAAGGAUCAUACCCCAGGGAAGUAUGAACUAAAUUGAAUUAAAGAAGUGCAACAAACAUGCAAAGCGAAGUCUAAAUAGUUAUUUAUCUACUCACCAUAGUACGACUAUGUUGGAAAAAAUUCUAUUCAAAAACAGUUUUCUUGCACAGCGAAAAAUAAAAAUUAUGCAAAUUAAGCCGGUUUGUGAAAUUUAUAGCAAUAAAACCUUUACCGAAAUUGCACCUAUGUUUUCAACUAGAUAGAAUGUUUUCGUUUCCAGCUUUCAACCGGUCAACCUUCUCUGCUAUUCUCAUACCACAAACUGCUUCGAGUGUGAGCUCGAACGAUUCAAAUAAAACAUAGAACCAAAAAUAGUUUUCUUUACUUUCAGUAUGAAAACAAAAUCUCUCUCAAUAGAAACCGACAGAAUUGUUGUUUUAAAAAAUAUAAUUAGUACUUAGAGAAUAAACUCUCACUAUUUUCAGGCAGAAUAAUAAUAUCUCAAAGAUUGUUUUUGUGUAUUUAGCUCUACUAGUGACAUCUAUUUAUAUGAAGAAGAUGUGAGACCCUUGUUGAAUUGUAGAAGUUUAUUUCAAUAGGAAGAAAAACUCUUAGUUUAACUAGGAUUAGGUGGGGCGACAACCAUUAGGUGGGGCGACAACCUUAGUUAAACAAACUAAGGUUUGUUGUCCCUAGCAUUAAACAUUAGGGGUUUUUGGGCCUCUCUCAAAUCGAGUCCAAUUACAAGUACAUCUCGGGCUUUUAACCCAGUAUUUUAUAAUUGAAUCCAAACCCAAUACUUGUUUUUCUACUUCCCAAAAUAAAUAUCAUUAAUUAAUUUAAAUAAAUUAAUUAUCCAAUUAAAUAAUUUUCCCAAUCCAAUUCUCUAUCCAUUAAAAUCAUGUCGACUUUACUGUAAAAGAAUCUAUGAGAAAAUAUAUUUAAUAUUUCUACAUUCAAUAGAUUCACUAUGAUCAAUUAAUUUAUUUCCAUUUUCGAACUUCAAUUAUUUAACUAAUUAAUUAAAUAAUAAUUUAAAAAAACAUAAAUUAAUUUUUCAGGUCAUUUCUAUUUGGAGAAAACUAUAUUCAUUUCCACAUGUUUCCCAUUUCUCUAACUUUACAAUUUCCAUCCAAUUAUGUUCAUUUUAUUCAACAUUCAAUUCUUUUUUUGUUUCAAAGAACUAAUGGAUGGACUGAUUGGACAUAUGUGAUUAGGGCUAAAAUGAUUUUUAAUUAAGUUCUAGUUUUUUUGCCUAUUAAUUAUAAACUAUUUUAGUCAUGAAGUCAUUCCACUAUAGAAUCGUGAUUGAGCUCUCCCUAAUGGCAUACCAUUAUGAAAGCAAUUCGAUUAGUGCUCGUCCAAUGAUCUUUUCAUACGUUGUUACCAUCGUACGAAUAUCUUUAAUCUCUUUGGGAUAAAUUUGUUCUCCCAAUAUGAUUAUAUUUUAUCUCAUGGUAAUUGUCACACCCCAAGUUUGGUAGGUCUAAGAUUAAGGUGUAUAGUAAUAAAAUAAUCUGUCUAGUGAAGUAUAAUCCACCCAAUUACUUUUUUUGGCAUAUGCGUAUGGGCGUAUAGAACUGCCAUAUAAGUAAGUGAAGAUUAUAUUUCAAGAUAUUCUUCUAUUCAAAGGAAAUGAUUGUGUUAAGCGAAAAGGGAUAAGCAUGGUAUGAGUUAUUGCCAAAGGUAUGUACGCCUUGUUUGUCUGAAGUACUGUGCUAGUUAGGUUGUAAAGUAACCUGGUCAGGAAUCAACUGGAUAGAUUAGUAUGACAUUUGUAAAUGUAGAGUACUUAUUUAUGUUUCUCAUAGAAACUGUAAACCAUUAAGAAUCCGAAUUCUGAAAUGUGUGACACUUGUUAAGUUACAUCAAGUAGGAUAAGUCAUAUUUAUAUGUGUGAGAAGGAUUCUAAAAAAGGUUCUUCUUCUUCCUUCAAAAGUACUUUCUGAUUUCUUUUUCUUUCUUAAGUUUAGUUGUAUCUCUUCCUUAUUAAGUUAGAAGUUAUGGUUCUUAGUUAAUGAGUGGUUAUUUCAUCUCUUGGUAAGUAUUACAGCUCUUCAUGUCAAGUUCUAAAUGAGUAAGUCUGUAUGUGAUAUUUGAACAAUAAGUUGUAAGUAUAAGGUUUUACAUGGAGGUUAUUAACAAUUAAGAUGAUAGUAAUUUGUAUGUAAAUGAGUUUUAAUGGUGGUCAUAUGUUCUGUAAACAGUUAUUGUUGUUGGUUCGAGAAGGAUGUCUGAGUCUGGAGCUUAGAACUACAGUAGGUAAGUAUCAGGUGAGUCUCUACCUUGACUCUUUUAUGUAAGUUGUUCAAGUAGAAGUAACAUAGAAGAUAAUGGUAUGUAUAAAGGUCUGUUGAGAAGAAUUUUGAUUGGUAUGUUUAGGCAAAGUUAGAAAUACAAAAAGUAUGAGUCAGUCAAGAAUGUGAAUAAAUCUGGGUAAGUAAACGUUGAGAUAUGUCCCUUUGUGAAGCCUCUAGUAAGGCAGUUAUAUUGUUAACCAGAUAAGCAAAUAACGAUAUGAAAUCAAGUGUAAAACCAUGAGGUUAAGACAUAUGGCAUCGUAUGAUAGAAGAAUACUCAUGGUGUAGCCUCUAGUAAGUUGAAGACUGGAUUGGCAGAUCACGAUACAUGAAUGUGCAUAAGUCUAUGCGGCUCAGACCCAUGGUAAGAUUUGGUUAUAUGUAUGUUCAUGGCGUAGCCUUCGGUAAUGUGCAAAUCAAAUUAGUAGAUCACAAUACAUGAAAUUAUAUAUAAGUUCAUGAGGGAGAAACACAUAGCACCUUCUGUGAGAGUCCGCUGAGACACAAACACGUAAAUUUGUAUGAUGCGUUUAUGGCGUAUUCUGUUUUGCCCUUGUGGUACACUCUGCUAAGUCUGUCUAGUAAAGAAUGCUUAUCCACCCUUAUGGUAAGUUUUGGGUAAAUUUUGAUUGUUUUAUGAUAGAUACUUCUAUAAUAAGGUUAAUUUGGUUGAAUUAGAUAAAGGAAAUUCUAAAAAGAAAUUUGUAUACGUAUGUUAAAAAGGGGUAUCCGCCAUGGUAAUCUAUUAGUUUAGCAAAUGGGCAUUUGCAUGGUUAUAAAAGACAUAAGAAAUUGCCAUUUCAAGUUUGUUUCUAUUAUAGUGCUGAAAUCUGAGUAUCUGAUUUCCAUUAUAUCUGAACAGUGUCUUGUCUUCUUCUAGAAUCUCAUAGAAUUCAAGACAUCAUUGUUUUAAGUAUCCUGGAUUCUGUAACAAAUUUGUGUGUGAAAUUCAUCUAAAUGGUUUGUAUAGUUCAUUAUCAAUAUAAGUAUGUGGGUUAUUGUACAAGAACAUGAUUUGAUUAGUGGAUUGAUGGAAUUCAAUUCUGUGUAAGUAUCCACCAAGCGUGUAUGUAUCUAGAAAUGAUUAAUAUUUGCAAACAACUAUUUUGGAAUAAGUGUAUAUGUAAGGGAUGAUUUUGUGCUCCAAAGGUAUACUCUUUAAAACAGUACUUUUGUGGUUAAGUGAAAAAAAUAUUAAUGAAAUGUAUAGAAAGAUCCUAAAUUGGUCAGUUAAGAGAGAAUUGGUAAGCUAAGAGUAUGGUAGUUGGUGACUAUGAGUAAGCCGAAACUGUAAUAGUAUCCACCCAUUACAGAAGUAAGUGGUUCAGAAUGAUAGAUGGCGCAUCAAUGUUCUAUGAAUAUUAUAAAGUAUCCGCCAAGGUUUUUUUUGUAAUAAAGUUCACUAAGUUCUCUUGAACUUACAAUGUUUGUUAUUGUUUCAGGUAUUGUGGUAAGAGAAUGCGCCAGGAAGGACUACGCUAAAUUAGCAGCGAAGUGGGUUAUCAUGCAUACAAUGGAAAAGUG
rnacentral:lncRNA from 1 species